UGAACAUAUCAUUUGCUGUUAAUUACAUCAAACGCAAGUUAUCAGAAUGAACUUUUUAAACGAGCCAACUAACAAAAAUCACUUUUUAUUUUUGUGUGUUUGAAGUUAAAAUUUUAAUUAACUGUUGAAUUGAACUGCAUCAAUUUCCUGCAGAAAACAAACACCGCUCACUAUCUUCAAUUUACAAUGAUGACUUGCAGCAAAAUUGCCCUCCAAUUUUGUGUGCUCUAUCCAAUUUUGCUAUUCACUCAAUGCAGUGAUAGAGUAAUAUAUGAUGUGUCUACUGAACCCCAAUGCACAGAAAUAACACAGAGCGCAACCGGGGAUUGCCGAUGGCACGCAGGUUUGGAUCGAACUGUGGAUCACAAAGUACUGGGAGGGAAGAUAGUGGCAUAUAAAAUCAGGUGGUUCAGCGGAGGCUGGUCUGGCUGGUAUGUGCCUGGCCUCCUAGAUAUGGACGGGAAGUUCAACCCGGCAGCCAGUCCAUGCUCUGUGCCUGUGAAAGCUAAUUCCAUGCGGCUUAUGUGGUCUUACUUCUACGACCAUACUCACUCUUAUAUUCUCUGUAAAUCUCGAGAAGUGCAAAACAACGAACUGUGAAAAUUAUGAACAGUUUAUGCUCAUAAAAUGGAAGAGCAAAACACUUUGUCGACUAAAACAAAUUUAUUAGUAUAUUACUGUUGAACGUUAAACCGUUACAAAACAAGUGGGGCUGAUUAAACUUUGUAUAAUACAGCUUUGAUUGAGUAUUUAACUGAAAUUGCGACUAACUUUUUGAA